rnacentral:lncRNA from 1 species
CUGGCUAACGGAGGAUUGCUCACACAGAGCAGAUCAAAUUCUCUAUAAGGAGAGCAUUAUCUGGCUUUCAGCCAAAACAUGUCCCCAGUGCAAGCCUCAGUAGUGGCAAACACUUUCCAGUUCUAUUUACAUAGAAGUUAACAAGCAGAACAGUUCAUCUAGGAUACUUCUUGUACCAAGUCAGUGCUAACUGUAACGCUUAAGAAGCAACAACUAUUCACCAACCUGUAUUCUGCGUUACAUACAGCUGUCGUUACGUAUCACCUCAUCACAACAGAGAGCUGCGAGAUUUCAUGCAAGGUUUUACUCUGACAUGUAGAACUUUAAGAGCAUUCAGGUGCUAAACACAGGCGCACGGUUAAUUCCUCAGUACCUGUAAGUUUCUGACACAAGAGUUUCAUGGAAGCGAAUGGUCUCUAGCAGCGGCAGCUGCUUUCACGGUAAACGAGGAAUAGGUCCUUUACCGAAUGAUCAGAAUAGUGCCACGAAGUAUUGUAAAGCAGUGCCUAAAUCAUGAUCAGGAAUGAAAAACUUGCACUAUUUAUGACGAGAUUAAUGAUUGUUUAUCUUUACAAUACUUUCCACAGAAGUUAUUUGAAAUAUGCUUAAAUUAAACAUACUUAAAAACUAUAUUUUCCAAUGAAAACAAGGCAACAUUCUGUAAUAAGCCACAAGUUUUAUUGCAACGUGGCCAGUUUUUGAUCUCAAAAACAAUGUUCCAUUUAAGGCUCUUUUUAAUACAGAAAUUGCCAUCAUGACCGAUGUUUUACAAAACUUUAGUGUUUCAAGACUCACAUGGUAAACAGAUAACUUCUACUCCUGUUCAGUAGUGUACAUUCAAUGGAAAACAAAAGGCAUCGUAACAGCUACUUCAUUUAUAAAGAUAUGCAUGUAACAGGAAUGAAACUGAGGUACCACAAUAAUUUGAUGACACAGUUACAGCAACUUAAUUGGCAUUCCUUUGGGGGGGAGGGGCAGGUCAAACAUAUUACAAAAAAGUGCUUUAAAUGCAUAGUGUUGUGUGCUGCCAUGUCACAAAAAUAGGCUUGUCAAGGCAGGUGAGGUGUAUGAAUGCACAAGAGCCUCAUGGAACUGCAAUCAAGUGCAACUGUAAGUAAUACUGUAUAGAGUCUACCAUCCCACCAGUGGACAAUACUUUCAAGGCAUUCAAUUAGCUUACCCUUUGCUGUCUGCUAGACUAUUCACAUUAACUAUCACAUUCAUUGUACGUGUGGCAAGGAAUGCAUGCAGCGUCAGUUUUGGCUAAGAGUAUGACGUGAAAGCAUUCCUUGGAUCCUACAUAAAACUACCAGGAUUAAACAGUCUAAUGGCAAUCACUGGUAGACUGCUUAACAAUGACAUCUCCUUCAGGGGCAGAAGGGAAGGGGCUUAUUUUUGAGGAGGGAAGGAGAAAGGGAGACUAAUACUAUUCCAAUUGAACGAGCUGCAGAAAUGGAAGCUCCUUAGAUCCAGAUGGCACUUGUCUGUCUUUUUAUAAGGGUUUUCCUUCAAGUGAAACUACCACGUUGCCUCCCAGUUUCUCUCCGAGUGUUGAACGGUCCUUAAUAUCAUCCAAACCAUUUACUUGCCACUCAUGUUUAAUACCUGUAAAUUUCUUUUUAAUGGCAUCUUUAGAGCUUGCGUAGAUCAUCUUGCUUUUUAAAGGUGCGCUUUCAGGAGCCCAGAAUAUAAAUACCAGGUCUUCCUUCUUAGAUUCCUUUGUCUCAUACGUGGCAUCGUACAAAGCGUAUCGGCAAUCGUUCAACGGUAGCAACUUCACAAAGGCCGUAUAGGGGUCCUCCACGGUAUCUCCGAUGUCACCGACCAGUAUCUGCUUCGCCUCCUCUACGAUUAUUUGCUUUUUGUCAUCGCUUAAGCAGAAGAGAACGGCUUUCUUUCUUUUUUUAAUCUCUUCUGGGGUUGAAGAUUUUCUUACUUUCAUGUCAUUAAAAACCUUUAUGACUUCAUCAUUCACUGUUACUCCAGAAGCCAUGGCGCCGGGUCCGGGGCGGCGGCGGCUGCCUGCGGUGCGGGGCUGCUGCGCGCAGGAGAGCGCUGCGCUGCGCUGCGCUGGGGGCGAGGCGGGCGGGGACUCGGGCCGGGCGGGGGAUGAGCCGCGGCGGCCGGGGAGGGCCGGUCACAUGGGCAGCGCCGCCACCACGUGCCACCGGCCCGGCCCGGCCCGCCCCGCCCGGCUCUCGGUGCCCGCAGCCAGGGCCCGCCGGGCCGCCCCCCGCGGGGAAGGGCCUGGAGGCGGCGGGAGGAAGCCGUGCUUCCUCUUCUGGCCCGGCCGCCCGUGCCGCCGUUUCCUUGCGCGCCUCGGCCUCCGCCCGCGGCCCCACGCGGUGCCUGGCCGGCCCCCUGUGCUGGCGAGGCCCGGCCGAGCGGGCCGCCCGGUGAGGCGGCCUGGACGCGGCCUUCUCUCGCCGCCUGGCUCCCCCGGGGCCUGCCCGGCCGCCCGUUCGCCGCUGUAACGCGGUCACCGUGUACCGAGACGUGCGGCCGCGCCGCCCGGCAGGGUCACGGUGGCGGCCGGGCUCCUGGAGGCUGAGCGCAGCCGCUGCCCCGCACUGCAGCGCGCCCCGAGCGGCCGCUCUCAGCGCAGGUACUCUGUGUGCCGCUCGGCAGUCGCCGUCCCGAGCAUCGCUGCCCUGCCCGGCGUGGCCCGGGGUUGGGCUCUGUGCACGCCACGCAAGGGGCAAGUGUUAUUGCUGCCGUUUGCCAUCUCCUUGUUCCGCUCUGAACGGGAGUUGUGCCGCUGCUAUGGCUGUUGUCUGUCUGUGAGCACAGAUCUGGGGGCCUGGCACGGGGACGUGUCUGAAAGAACUGCUGAUAGGGCGGGCAGGGCACAGCCCCGUGCAAGGGGUAAGGAGCAGUAUUAAAAGAUAGGAAGAUGGCUUCUAGGAAAACAAGAAGGAACGGCUCUCCUUGGAGCGUGCCACUUGUCUGUGUUGGGUUGGGUUGGGUGGGGUUCAGGCACGGGACACCAGACGUGGACCUUUGCAUCUGCAGCGUGACAGGCGGGCGUGGGGACUGUUGGCACGGCACGGCUCUCAUCCCAUGAGCUGCUGUGUGGCAGCCCAGGGCUCCCGGGCAGGCAGGUGGAGACCACCAAACUGGUGCAUGUGUGUGUACAGAUGUGUGCGUUCCUACUGUGCUGCGUGAUGUGUGUCCAGUUUUUCCCCCCCUUUCUCCGUUACCACAUGCCACCAUGUUGAUAUGAUGAGUCAUAUCCUGCCCUCUCUGAUUUCAGAGUUCAGGCCUGAAUUGAAUUCAGUGAGAUCCAUUAUGUGGCCCAUCAGCCUUAAGGCCGCUACCCUGUAGAUGCACUGUGGCUCCAGCCCCUCGCAUCCUUGCAGUCCCUGCCAACACAGAGCUAAAGGUGGCAGCUCUGCCGCCACUUUGUAACAGCCGAUUGCCGCUCCUUUGUUUGUGCUGCCAGCAGCAUCGGACCUAGGAAGAGAGCUGGUACUGCAUAAUUGCAUCUUGUGCAAUCCAUAACACAAUUCAAAUACAACAUGUGCUUUUGAUCAUACAAGUAAUUAGGUAGGGUAGGUGAAAAUUUAUGGGAAGUAACAGCACAACUCCUAAAAUGGUUAAUUCUCCAGACACAGUUUUAUGGUUGACUUACAACAAUGUAAGUCCAAUGAGACCAUCUCUUCAGCCCCAUUUUGGGAUGUCUCCCACACAGCUUCACAGGCUUUGGUGAACUCCAGCUGCUCAGCAUGGUUUGGUGAAUCACAAACCCAUUUGAGACACCGUAGUUUGUCAGUAUUCCUGGCACGUGCCCUUCUGUGUCCUUGCACCCAAUGCCAGGAGGCCACUGGGAAAACAGCAGGAAGGGAUUCGUAGCAUUUGAAAAUGGAUUUAGUCAUGCACAUAUGCAGGGCAUCCCGCAUUGCCACUAAAUCCCAACACUGCUGUGGCCUCAGCAGGCUGCUCCUGACACUUGUACAAGCCCACCAAAGUGCCCCAGUCCCAUGCCUCCACAGGACACCCUCCCCGCUUGCACAGAGGCCCACUUCCC